GCUAUAUAGAGAAACCCUGUCUUGUAAAACCAAAAAAAAAAAAAAAAAAAAAAGAGGACAAUGCUGCUGUGUCUGUUGCAGCCGCAGCCCGCCAGCAGAGGGCGAGCGUUCCUAGUGUAACUCCACUUCCCCCAGGCCAAGUGUGUCCUAAUUGAUGACUUGUCCUCACGCCUGUCACCUCAGCACCCCGUCCAAGCCAGGCUGGGUUAUAAAGCGAGAUCCUGUCUUGAAAAAAAGGGGAAGGGUCCCGAGCUCCCAGGAGGAGCCAUGGCGCCUCAAGCUGGGCGGGGCCGCCCCUCUGGGCAGCUCGCCCGAUGUAGGCCACUUGCCUCGGGGCUGGCACACAGCUGCAUGGAGGCCUUGGCCGCAGUCCCUUUUUUCCAAGAAGGGUGAGGAGUUUGUGGGAAGCGACGGGGGGGGGGGGGGUUAUUUAUAGAGAACGCAGGAAAUCCCCAAAGAGUCAGGGCCUCACCCAGCGGAGGCAGUCGGACCGGGCACUUGGCCCCCUUCCGCCCCGGAGCCCUGCCUGGGGCCUGGGAGCCUGGAUGAGACUAGGGGCCGAAGGGAAUCCAGAAAAGCUGCCUGGAGGAGGGGUCUGGGCAGAUAAAACUGAGCCAAGCCCCUACCCCAUGGUGUUUGUGUGUGUGUGUGAUGUUAUCAUACACGUGGGUGUGGGGAUUCUAGGGGACAUACUGGCCAGAAAAGGACACAGGUCAGGUCUCAAUUCUGUAUCCAGUGUUUAGCAUCCUCCUCUCUCUGCCCACAGUGCUAGGGUUACAGGUGCACAACUAUACCCUGCUUUUAUAUUGGCAAUUGAGACUCAGUUUCUCCUCUUUCAGCAACAAGUACUCUCACCCAGGGAGCUAGGCAAGGAAAAGCAUAGCCAGGCAUGUUAGUGCGCCAGCGAUCCCAGCAUUGUAGAGGCAGGAGGAUCUCUGAGUUGGAGGCCAGCCAGGCUAUGUAGCGAGCCUCUUGUCUCAAAACGAAACAAAUGAACACAAAUGAAGCAAAUAAACUUUGUUCACCCUUAAGUCCUGAUCAGAUAUUCUGAGAGCAGCCAGGGCUGAACCCUGUCUGUAAGCUGCCAAAGGGGCUGAGAAACUAGGCUGUAGGGUAAUGGGGAGCCAUGAAGGAUGUGUGACCAACAGAGGGCGGGUUCAGAAUCCAUGAUGAAGAGGACUGUGCCAGUAUAGGACCCUCCUGAGGCAGCGCUGGGGGCAGGCUUUUGUUUUCUCAUGUCAGCAAUGUAGGCCUCUCUGCCUGGACACUUCAGAUUCAUUAUCACAACCACUGUGGUUGUUAGAGGUGGGUUCUUACUGUGUAGCCCAGACUGGCCUGGAACUCUUGGGUUUAAGCAAUCCUUCUGCCUCCCAAUCAUGUUAGCUGAGAGUACAGAUUUGAAACAUGGUGUCUGGGAAGAGAAAACAAAGGCUGAGUUUGAUCACCAUCUGCACCCAGGCCAGUGGCUAUCAGACCUUCAGUCAGGUCGACUUCAUCCCAGAGCUCAGGCGCAGGUCCAGGGCCCGCCCCAAUUCCUUGGGGCCUUCAUCCCAGCCAUCCAGGCAGCCUCCCAGGCUGACCCCUGGUGGCCUGGUUGGCGGGGCUCCAGCCGAGUGCUUCCUGCAGUGACAGGCUCUGGCCCAUAUUUCCGGAUCCAGGAAAUAUCGCCGCUUUGUCCCCAAGGCAGAGUGUGGCACACAGGCUGUGUGAUUCACCUCCUGCUCCCACAGGGGCCAACGCUGGAGGGAGCAGCCGCCUUCUGCCUUCAUGUUUGUCUGCUUUUCCCUCGAUGGCUCCAGCUUGCUGCUGGGAUUCAAGGACAGCUGGGCUGGACAUUAGAGGGCUGCCCUUGCCCUUCAGUCCCCUGCCUCAGCCUCCCCACCAGGGACAGACCUGUUUCACCACGCUGGGCUUCAUUCUGUUGCAUGUUGUUUCUGUAAGGGCUACUAUUUUUUUUUUUUUAAAUCUGUACCAACCUGAGGAGAUGCAUCUUUCAAUAUGUUUGCACCAGAAGGCAAUAGGAUAGCUUUUCAUUUUUAUUUAGUCCUGAUGGUUGAAACAGGGUCUCCUGUAGCCCAGGCUGGCCUUGUAGUCCCAAUCCUCCUGCCUCAGCCUCUUCAGGUCUGGAAUAACACCACACCCAGUUUAUGUGGUGCUGGAGAUGGAGUCCAGGGUGUCAUUCAUGCAACACAAGCACUCUACCCACUGAGCCACAGGGUUGGGCUGAAAGGUGCAUGCCACCCGCCACAGCUGCCAUCUAUUCAUUUAAAGAUUCUAUGUUACCUUGAUUGCACCACCUGCAUGUGUGCUGCCUCUGGAGUUCAAGAGAGGGCAUCAGAUCCCCUGCAUGUAGUUGUAAGUUGCCAUGUUAAUGCUGGGAACCAAACCCAGAUCCUCUCUAGGAGCAGUCAGUACCUAACCUGCUGAGCUGUCUCACCAGUCCCCACUGAGCAUGAGAGUCAUCACUGUCCUCAGGAGGCUGAGGUAGUGAGAUCCAGAAUUCAAAGCCAACUUGGCAUGCAUAAUGUGACCUUGUUUACAGAAUAAAAACAUAAAUAGAAACC
rnacentral:lncRNA from 1 species